rnacentral:rRNA from 1 species
AGCAGUAGCCGCGGUAAUACGAAGGGGGCUAGCGUUGCUCGGAAUGACUGGGCGUAAAGGGCGCGUAGGCGGAUGGCACAGUCAGAUGUGAAAUUCCCGGGCUUAACCUGGGGGCUGCAUUUGAUACGUGUUGUCUAGAGUGAGGAAGAGGGUUGUGGAAUUCCCAGUGUAGAGGUGAAAUUCGUAGAUAUUGGGAAGAACACCGGUGGCGAAGGCGGCAACCUGGUCCUUGACUGACGCUGAGGCGCGAAAGCGUGGGGAGCAAACAGGAUUAGAUACCCCGGUAGUCCCUGUCUCUUAUAC